GUUUCAACGGGAGGGUUUUAUAAAGACACAGCGGGGACCCACAAAAACACCGUUUUGGAUGAUGCAGGUAAUGAGGGAUUUAUGCGCAGGACCAGACUAAUGGCUGGCAGCAGGAAGCUGGAUAUUUUGGGGCCUCUACACAGCAAUUUAUUUUUUCAAGAAAAACUGCUGCUCAAUGGCAUGGACUUGAAAAUGAAAUUGUCACAUAGAAAAAAUGUUUUUUGCCUCAUGAGCAGGAAUACCAACUAGGAUUAUAAAGUGCAUAUUAUUUCAGCGUCCCUGUUUCUAAAACAGGUGAAAGUGACACCAGGGGUUUGCUUAGGGCAUGUGGAAGUUCUGAUGACUGCCAGUGCUUAGUACUUGGUAGACAGGGUGGGCAUAAAGAUGUUUAGCAUUCAGGCCAGCAGUUAUGUCAGGAACCAGGAAAACUUCUUUUUGGUACCGUUACCCAAGCAGCUCAUAAUUGGGUUUAUCGAUAAUGACAUUUUCAGCCGCAGCUGUGUUAAAAACCCUUUUAACUUUAAACAUUAUAACAUUAAUUUUGUGGCCUUGUAUGUGGAUGGUGAACUGGUGCUGGCAAAACCCCUACAACCCGAUUUUGAGAAUGGAAACUGCAUGAGGGAGUACAUGCAGCUCGUGCAGGCGACUGGGAAAUAUAUGAAAGACUGAUCGCUGUUGAUUGAUCAUUGUGAAUUUGCCCAGGGUUACAUACUGUAUGCCUUUGAUCUGACCCCAGACAAGGAAUGCGCCAAUCAUCAUUUUCUGUUUAAAACUGGAAACCUGAGAGCGGAGAUUCGGUUUGCAACGGCGCUGCCCUCUAUGGUUAACAUGAUAGUGUAUGAGGUUUUUGAUGAUGGUUCUGAUAUUUUUUCACUGCCAGAGGCGCGUUUUAUUUAUUCUAACUAAUAGCUGGGAACGAGGUACAAUUUUUCAGCAUGUUCCAUUAUCAGUUAAUUAAAAGGCCUGACGGUAGAGGGAGUGCAAAGCUCAACAAAGGACCGAUAAAGCCCCCGGCCUGUUUUACAAUUAGCUUUUUUCUUUUGAGGGAUACCCUUUUAUCACUCAGCUUUUUAAUAAUCCCCCGUUUUCUUUUUAGUACACUUACUUGUCAGGGUUUCAGAGGAACGUUUCCUUUUCAUGUGUUGAGCGCUAUUUCUGAGGUGGUCGCUACCUGGUUGCCAGAAGCCAAGCAGAGAAUAGCCUUCCUUUGCUGCGGUUUGGCUUUGAUGAGGAAUCUUCAAAAGAGCCAGGUUUCUCUGCACACGGCUAGACAUGAUUGUCAGGGGGAUGCCCUUUUUAAAAAUGGGAGUUUGAUAAAAAUCACUAUUUUUAUGGAGUUUUUUUUAAGGUGUAUACACAGGGUCAGUCUGGGGAAAAGGCCCAUUGUUAACCUGAAGGCUUCAGGCAUUGAAGCAUUUAAAUCCACCAGCAAGUAUCCAUAGGGAUUUUUGGUAGCGUCCUCAAAAGUCUCCAAAAAUAAUUGUUUUACCAGGGUACAUUUGCUGGGCCAAAGUGGUUAUUUGCAGUUUAUGUGGGGUUUUUUUUUUUUUAUAAAAAGAACCAUGUACUUAUUAUUUGAAUUAAAUCAUUAGGCUUUUUUUCCCCCGAGAAAACAUGUUUUGCACAAUGUACAUAAUACUUAGGUUCCUGUGGUGCAUGUAUUUUGUAAAGGCUUUCUCGAUUUUACCACUUUCAGAAGCAGACUCCAUUAGAUCGUCUAUAAUAACCAUAUUCAGUUUAUUACUAGGAAAUAACUUCAUCAUUAAAUGUAUCAGGUAAACCUUCCAAAAACAUAAUACAUGGACACUUUUGCAACAACUCUUCAUACAAUGGUUGCCAACAGCUAUAAUACCCCACAAGAUUUUCAGGCAUGCACAAUAACAGCUUAUUGCAGUUUUCUAACUAUUGCUUUAUAUAAAAUGAUUUUCCAGAAUUCAAAGGACCACAAAGCAAACAGGAAAAGGGGUGAACAAACUGAUUGUGGCUCUUCAUAGUCAGUUCCCCUAUGGCAAGUUUUAAAAUCCAUCUGGAGGGCUCUUUGUCAUAAACGACUUUCUGGGUUUUUUUUCAGAGUUCUUGUUUCUAUCAACGAGUGUUGUUUUUUGUUUUACUCUUACUAUCCCUGGCGGCUGUACCACAGUUUGUUUUGGGACCUCUCCCAAGGGGUAAUCCCAGAUGAGGAUUUUUAAACUUUCAAAAUUAAUUUUCUCGCUAUUCCCUGAGUUGAGCAUGAUCCCUUUUACUUUCAUACAGGUCUUACCGCUGGACAGUUUGUACCAUAUAUUUUAGAACAAGCAGACACAAACUCCACGACGCAUUCAUCUAGAGGUAUUUCACUGGUCAAAUCCCCAAGGGGAGGGUUCCAUGCCCCCUUUUUACUCACAAAAAUCACAGAAUCCAUAUUGUGGUAAAGCUCCUGUAAACGACCUAACAGAUGAUAGACCUCUAGCCUGGCAUAAGCAGUGGUAAAGCAUGCUAUAAACACAUUAGUGUUGCUGGAAAGGGUGCAGUGUUCUUUUGCAUACUUCCAAGACACUAAGUCUGUGUCUUCGUCGAUAAACUCGCAUGAUGAGACAUCAUAAUAAGGUACAAAGACAUACUUGAAGAGCUCGUCGGGGUCUGUCACUAUAUUGGUGUUAGUCAAAUUUGUUCGCUGACUAGGCUGUUUUUAAAUUCCUUGUGGGGAAAAUGUAGAGAUUUGUCUUUUUGCAUAGUUUUCCUUAAUCUUGUUUAGAUGCAGACACACGCCUUCUCUUUCACGGUACUCUUUAAUGUACUAUUUUUUUUUUUUGUUCAGCUUGUCCGUACACCAGUAACGGAACCCUGAGGCCUCUUGUUUCUAUCCCAGGUGCGUUUUAAUGUAGUUUGAAAACAGGGUACCUGAAGAGCAGUUAGUGCCAGACUUUAUAAAUCUCAGCGAUCCUGUACCCUUUGUCUAAAGCCUCCACCAGCUCUAUCGUGCACCAAGUCCCUGUUAAAGCCCUCUCCUCCUGACUGUGUAUGCAGGGGUCCUUUUGUUUCUGCACAAAGGGCACAUGGAAAACGUUAGUUUACUCCCCACUCUGUACGGUAAAAUGGGGAAAUACAGGCCUCUUGGAGGGUACACUUUAACUUUGGCAAUACCAAAGUACCAUCUUAUUUCCCCAGAAUCCUCAUACACAGUAACGGGGUGCUCUGUUGGGUAUUGUUUAGUCUUGUUAACAAAAGAUAGGUUUCAGAGUAACAGCCGUGUUAGUCUGUAUUUGCAAAAAGAAAAGGAG